rnacentral:rRNA from 1 species
AGUGAACGCUGGCGGUAGGCCUAACACAUGCAAGUCGAACGGCAGCACAGUAAGAGCUUGCUCUUACGGGUGGCGAGUGGCGGACGGGUGAGGAAUACAUCGGAAUCUACUUUUUCGUGGGGGAUAACGUAGGGAAACUUACGCUAAUACCGCAUACGACCUACGGGUGAAAGCAGGGGAUCUUCGGACCUUGCGCGAUUGAAUGAGCCGAUGUCGGAUUAGCUAGUUGGCGGGGUAAAGGCCCACCAAGGCGACGAUCCGUAGCUGGUCUGAGAGGAUGAUCAGCCAGACUGGAAGUGAGACACGGUCCAGACUCCUACGGGAGGCAGCAGUGGGGAAUAUUGGACAAUGGGCGCAAGCCUGAUCCAGCCAUACCGCGUGGGUGAAGAAGGCCUUCGGGUUGUAGAGCCCUUUUGUUGGGAAAGAAAAGCAGCAGGUUAAUACCCCGCUGUUCUGACGGUACCCAAAGAAUAAGCACCGGCUAACUUCGUG